rnacentral:rRNA from 1 species
AGACCCGAAACCCGGUGAUCUAGCCAUGGGCAGGUUGAAGGUUGGGUAACACUAACUGGAGGACCGAACCGACUAAUGUUGAAAAAUUAGCGGAUGACCUGUGGCUGGGGGUGAAAGGCCAAUCAAACCGGGAGAUAGCUGGUUCUCCCCGAAAGCUAUUUAGGUAGCGCCUCGUGAAUUCAUCUCCGGGGGUAGAGCACUGUUUCGGCUAGGGGGCCAUCCCGGCUUACCAACCCGAUGCAAACUGCGAAUACCGGAGAAUGUUAUCACGGGAGACACACGGCGGGUGCUAACGUCCGUCGUGAAGAGGGAAACAACCCAGACCGCCAGCUAAGGUCCCAAAGUCAUGGUUAAGUGGGAAACGAUGUGGGAAGGCCCAGACAGCCAGGAUGUUGGCUUAGAAGCAGCCAUCAUUUAAAGAAAGCGUAAUAGCUCACUGGUCGAGUCGGCCUGCGCGGAAGAUGUAACGGGGCUAAACCAUGCACCGAAGCUGCGGCAGCGACACUCAGGUGUUGUUGGGUAGGGGAGCGUUCUGUAAGCCUGUGAAGGUGGCCUGUGAGGGUUGCUGGAGGUAUCAGAAGUGCGAAUGCUGACAUAAGUAACGAUAAAGCGGGUGAAAAGCCCGCUCGCCGGAAGACCAAGGGUUCCUGUCCAACGUUAAUCGGGGCAGGGUGAGUCGACCCCUAAGGCGAGGCCGAAAGGCGUAGUCGAUGGGAAACGGGUUAAUAUUCCCGUACUUGGUGUUACUGCGAAGGGGGGACGGAGAAGGCUAUGUUGGCCGGGCGACGGUUGUCCCGGUUUAAGCGUGUAGGUGUGUGUUCCAGGUAAAUCCGGUUCACUUUAACACUGAGGCGUGACGACGAGGCACUACGGUGCUGAAGCAACAAAUGCCCUGCUUCCAGGAAAAGCCUCUAAGCAUCAGGUAACAUCAAAUCGUACCCCAAACCGACACAGGUGGUCAGGUAGAGAAUACCAAGGCGCUUGAGAGAACUCGGGUGAAGGAACUAGGCAAAAUGGUGCCGUAACUUCGGGAGAAGGCACGCUGACACGUAGGUGAAGUGAUUUACUCA